UGAAAAAUAAUUUAUUUUUUCACUAAAAUGCUGGUGUUGUCCCAAAGUUUUUUUACAAGGGGUAAUAGGAAGGAAAAAAAAUUUGGAACACCAUUUUUCCUUAGUAUGGAAAUACCCCAUAUGUGGAUGGAAAGUGCUCUGUGGGCACACUACAUGG